UCAAGGUGAGAGAUACGGAGGUAGAGCACUGAAUGUCCUAGGGGGUAUUGCACCUACCGAAGACUAUCAAACUCCGAAUGCCGUCAUCUUAUACUUGGGAGUCAGACUGUGGGUGAUAAGAUUCAUAGUCGAAAGGGCAACAGCCCAGAUCGUCAGCUAAGGUCCCUAAAUGUAAGUUAAGUGGUAAAGGAUGUGGGAUUGCACAGACAACCAGGAUGUUGGCUUAGAAGCAGCCACUCAUUCAAAGAGUGCGUAAUAGCUCACUGGUCGAGUGAUCCUGCGCCGAAGAUUUCCGGGGCUAAAACUUACUACCGAAGCUACGGCAUCAGUAAUGAUGGGUAGGGGAGCUUCCCAUACGGGUUGAAGCAUGACCGUAAGGACAUGUGGACAGUAUGGGAGUGAGAAUGUUGGCAUGAGUAGCGAGAUGUGGGUGAGAAUCCCACAGGCCGUAAACCCAAGGUUUCCAGGGGAAGGUUCGUCCGCCCUGGGUUAGUCGGGACCUAAGCUGAGGCCGAAAGGCGUAGGUGAUGGACAACAGGUUGAUAUUCCUGUACUACCGAUAACCGUUUGAGAGAAGGGAUGACACAGUAGGAUAAGCUAAGCACACUGUUGGUUAUGUGUGCCCAAGCAUUGAGGCAGUCAAAGUAGGCAAAUCCGCUUUGAUAAUGCUGGGAUGUGAUGGGGAGCGAAAUUUAGUAGCGAAGUAGCUGAUUUCACACUGUCAAGAAAAGUCUCUAUCGAGGUUAAAGGUACCCGUACCGCAAACCGACACAGGUGGGUGAGGAGAGUAUCCUAAGGCCAGCGAGAGAACUGUUGUUAAGGAACUCGGCAAAAUGACCCCGUAACUUAGGGAUAAGGGGUGCCACCAUCAGGUGGCCGCAGAGAAUAGGCCCAAGCGACUGUUUACCAAAAACAUAGGUUUCUGCUAAGUCGCAAGACGAUGUAUAGGAGCUGACGCCUGCCCGGUGCUGGAAGGUUAAGGGGAUCUGUUAGAGCAAUCGAAGCAGUGAACUUAAGCCCCAGUAAACGGCGGCCGUAACUAUAACGGUCCUAAGGUAGCGAAAUUCCUUGUCGGGUAAGUUCCGACCCGCACGAAAGGCGUAACGAUUUGGGCACUGUCUCAACAACAGACUCGGUGAAAUUGUAAUUCCGGUGAAGAUGCCGGAUACCUGCGACAGGACGGAAAGACCCCAUGGAGCUUUACUGUAGCUUGACAUUGGGUCUUGGUACUACAUGUACAGGAUAGGUGGGAGGCUUUGAAACCAGGACGCCAGUUUUGGCGGAGCCAUCCUUGGGAUACCACCCUUGUAGUACUGGGACUCUAACCAUAGGCCAUGAAUCUGGUCUUGGGACACUGUCA
rnacentral:rRNA from 1 species